GGUUCAUCCGGCUCAGCUGGUUAAAGCGUGGUGCUGUAAAUGCCAAAGUUGUGGGUUCAAUCCCCAUAUGAGCCA